GGUUGAAUGGCUAGGACGUGCAACUUAGGAUCGAGAGAUCACUGGUUCAAAUCCGA
rnacentral:tRNA from 1 species